rnacentral:rRNA from 1 species
GUAGUACAUUGAUGGGGACCCCUUGGGAAGUCUUGUGUUGCAGCCAUGGGUGCGAUCAUACCAGCACUAAUGCACCGGAUCCCGUCAGAACU